UUUUUUUUUUUUUUUUAUGUAUAUAUACUAGUUGUGGUUACACCCUUUUUGUAUAAUAUUGUACUAAAAAAUAAAAAAAAAUAGACAAUAGUAAGUAAAAAUGAUCAUGUAUUAAUAUCAUAUCUAAAUGUAUAACAAUUAUGAAUUCUUCUUAUUUAUAUAAUCCGUCUGAUUCCAAACCUAAAUUUUUUGACAAUCAUGUAGAAAACAAAAAAAGAGAACAUCAAAUAGAUUUAUAUUCACAUACUCAAGCCCAAUGUCCAAUACAAUUAUUCAAGUUUCUACCAAUGAAUAAACAUAUCAAUUAUAACAGCAAUACAAACAAUAACAAUUCUUAUCAAUUAAAAUUCCAUCAAAAAGGGACUGCUCCUAACCUGUCAGAAAAUAUUACAAUAAGAAAUGACUUAAAAAACGAUUAUAAAAAAACAUUAAAUAAUACGAAUAAUUACUUUUGUAAUGCAAAUAAUAAUUUGAAUAUUAUAAAUAAGUGUUUUACUAAUAAUAACAAAAAUUCGAAAUACAUAAAUGUGAACUAUCCCCCACGAACGAAUUAUAACCAACUUAAUACCUAUAUGAUUAAUAAUAAAAAUAGUACAUCUAAAAAUGACAAAUUUGUACCUACAGUAACAACCUCCGUAAGUCUUUCAAAUUUAAAACAACUUAAAAAACAAAAUAGUAAUUUAUAUAAAAUUUUUAUAGAAAAAUGUAAACGGGUUAUUAUAUUUGACUUAGAUGAUACCAUUAUUCCUACUUGUUGGUUAAGGUCAAUGUUAUUAUAUAAAAAUAAUUAUAAUUACGAAGAAACAAUAAUAGAAUUAAAAAAAGAAAUUGAAUUAAAUAAAGAAUAUAAUUUAGAGCUAACAGCUUGUUCCGUAAUUAAAUUGGCUAUGUCUUUGUCACACACAGUUUUUAUUGUUACUAAUGCAAGAAGUGAUAGAUGGGUAAAUACAGUAAGAUGUUUAUUUCCCCAACUUUCGAAACUACUUGAUGAUUUUCAUAUUCCUAUAGUAAGAACAGAUCAACACAAUGAACCUCCUUCUUCUAAUGUUAAGC
rnacentral:lncRNA from 1 species